CCUCUCCCUCCAGUUGCACAUAUCUCCAACUUUUGAUCCCUCUUGCCAACAACAAUAUUUCCUUCUUAACAUUUAGGCUCUACAGGGAAUGUGGAAGCUGAAAAUAGCAGAAGGCAAGGGGCCAUGGCUGAUGACAGUGAACAAUCACAUCGGCCGACAACACUGGGAAUUUGACCCAGACGCUGGAUCUCCACAAGAACGAGCUGAAGUUGAAAGGGUUCGCGAGGAGUUCAAGAAGAACCGCUUCCAAUUUAAACAAAGCGCUGAUCUUUUGAUGCGAAUGCAGGUACCAUUUAAACUAAUC